UCUUUUUUGACAGUAAAUUUCUUGAAGAAAGGAAGAACAUCCUAUUUUGGGGGGGUUUUCAAUACCAAGGACAAGCUCCAGCCCUGUGUGUGACCUCUUUCCAGACACCCAUGAUACAAACUUCUGUCAUGGGCACUAUUCCUUGCAGGUUCUAUUCUGCUUUCUGCUGACCUGUCAAAAUCAUCCUCCCUAAAGUACAUAUGAAGAUAUCUUCCUGGAAAGACCAUGAGAUACUUUCUCUGGCAAUACCAAGGAAUGGCAUGAAUUUCCUGGAGCCUUUUUUCAUAUAAAAGUAGGAAAAAUAUUGCUCUUUAGACUCAUGCUCUAAUACUGCCAGAUGGAAACCAAAUGGAAGUUUCGACAGGUGAUGAGCGACUGGGAUUGUUUUGGUGACAAAUCUAGGGCACCCAAACCAUCCACUUGGAAGGGCACCUUAACGGGAAGGACAUCUUUGCCAGCUAGUGACGUCAGUUAAUUGUACUUAUAAAUUCUUCAUGUUCGGGGCUUCUGACAUUUUAUCUUCUCUCCCUUUGAGUCUAAUACAAGACUCCAGUUGGAUAUGAAGAGAAAUCACUCACUCCCAAAUUAUAUUGCUGGUCUCUUGAUAGAUUCACCAUUGGUCUUUCCAUCCAAGUCGGUCUUUGUCAUAAAUCCGACCCUCUUAACAGCCGUAUCAGAGCGCUGAAUGCCACCUCCUCUCCGGCAAUUGAUCUAUGUCCUGACACAGGAUAUUGUGUCCCAUUUGAAUCCCUGCAUCCAGAGUCGUUACUCAGUUCAUACGCUGGGCUGAAUGAAGCACUUUAUCAGCCUUCAAAGUCAGAGUUAUGAGCAGAAUGGCUUAUGGAAGUUUCAGCCUUCAGCUAUCCUGGGGAAAAUGAUUUAAGCGGCAUUCCACAACGGAGCUCUUAUGGACAGGAAGGAUAGAUGUCUCCUUCCUUCUUCUGGUAGUUUCAUUCUGGCUGGGUGGUAUGCUCUCUUGUCCAGCCUUGUGAUGCAGCUGAAUGACAGGUGUUGGUGAAAAAAAUGCAGAAGAGCCAGCCAGCUGGUGACCUUGAGCAAAUAGCUUACCCACUCUGAUUCUCAUAUGUCUCAAGCUUUAGAGCCGAAAGCUUUGCUCCUCAAAAGUCAUCUGAUUCAAUGACUUCAGUAUAUAGAUGAUGAAUGAAGACUCAGAACUUAAAUGACUUGCCAAGGUCAUACAAUGCAUUUGUGAAAUGAAUAAUAGUGAGUGAAUAAAUAAAGCAUUAAUAUAUGUGUAGAACUGUUCUAAGCCCCGAGAAGACACAGAAAAGAGGCAUAUAGUCCCUGCUCUGAGGAACUCCCAGCACAGAUGGAAGCAUUCAGCUGGAAGUCAGAUGCGAAGUCCCCCGGCCCUUGGGGUGCAUUGGCAAAAGCAGAUGGAAACUCCUCUUUUUGAAUGUCAUUUCCAUUAAUAAAAUCCCAUCAUU